AGAGUUUGAUCCUGGCUCAGAUUGAACGCUGGCGGCAGGCCUAACACAUGCAAGUCGAGCGGAUGAGUGGAGCUUGCUCCAUGAUUCAGCGGCGGACGGGUGAGUAAUGCCUAGGAAUCUGCCUGGUAGUGGGGGACAACGUUUCGAAAGGAACGCUAAUACCGCAUACGUCCUACGGGAGAAAGUGGGGGAUCUUCGGACCUCACGCUAUCAGAUGAGCCUAGGUCGGAUUAGCUAGUUGGUGAGGUAAAGGCUCACCAAGGCGACGAUCCGUAACUGGUCUGAGAGGAUGAUCAGUCACACUGGAACUGAGACACGGUCCAGACUCCUACGGGAGGCAGCAGUGGGGAAUAUUGGACAAUGGGCGAAAGCCUGAUCCAGCCAUGCCGCGUGUGUGAAGAAGGUCUUCGGAUUGUAAAGCACUUUAAGUUGGGAGGAAGGGCAGUAAGUUAAUACCUUGCUGUUUUGACGUUACCGACAGAAUAAGCACCGGCUAACUUCGUGCCAGCAGCCGCGGUAAUA
rnacentral:rRNA from 1 species